CUGCCUUUUUCAUAAUGAAUACAUUGAAGAACAGACACCAUGACCCCAAGCUUGCUUCAAAAAGGCUCCACCCGUGCCUUAACAUGAAAAGUUUUCACAUCAUUUGACCAUGAUCCAAGGGACUGAUGAAAAUUUUCAAGUGCACAGGAAGCAAUGCAGUCACUGUCAGGGAAAUUAAGCCAGAAUUGUGUAAAAAAUUGAAAAAUAAAUGCAGGAUUAAUACUUAAAAUUUUGUUCUUUUAAUUUCGUA